UACGAAGGGGGCUAGCGUUGCUCGGAAUCACUGGGCGUAAAGGGUGCGUAGGCGGGUCUUUAAGUCAGGGGUGAAAUCCUGGAGCUCAACUCCAGAACUGCCUUUGAUACUGAAGAUCUUGAGUUCGGGAGAGGUGAGUGGAACUGCGAGUGUAGAGGUGAAAUUCGUAGAUAUUCGCAAGAACACCAGUGGCGAAGGCGGCUCACUGGCCCGAUACUGACGCUGAGGUGCGAAAGCGUGGGGAGCAACAGG
rnacentral:rRNA from 1 species